GUACCUGCCUAAGGAGAAUUACAUUCCUGGUUCUGUGAGAAGGGUGUAUAAAGCAACAUGAAACAUUUGCCCUUAUUUUGUUUAUAAUUGCAAACUGAUAUUCUCAGAACUGGAUUUUCUUUCUCUCAAAAUUAGAACUUUUUGUUGUUUUGGAUUUAAUGAAGUAUUGCUAGCUGAAGCCAGUUUGACAUAGAAGCAAUGUCAGACUGAUGAGAGGUGUGCAGCCUGAUUAAAACCAAACCCUGAACCCUUUUAAAGAACAAUAAACAUAUUUUACAUGCUAAAAAAAUAAAAAAAUACAAAUGCCUAUCUGAGAAAUAA